UGCAGACAUGCGGGCAAAGCAUUAACACAUACAGUGCAGGUAAACGAAAUGGAAACCACAAGUAUGAAAUAUACCUCAUUGAAGAGUACAAGAGAGCCUGAGUAAUGUAUGUUUAACAGUGUGACUUUAAAGAUCUGAUGAAUGUCUUUAGAUUUUGAGAAUAGUUUGUACUGAGAUGGCUUGGUUAUGCAUGAGGAAUACUGCGACUUUUCUGACCCUGUUCAUAGUUUUCAUCCUGCAUGUGUGCAUUAAUGCACAAGGUUUGAGAAGAAGAGAAGCCAAGAAAGCACAGCAUAGAGCCCAAUUCAUGUGGACGACACCUGUCCCAAAUGUUCUGAAACGUGAAGAAUUUUUCUGUGUUCAGUACUCAUCUGUCCAAGAUUAAAUUGUGAUUCAACACAGAUUGUUUGUUACACUGUACAAAACAU